AAUGCAUACUAUUAAAACUGGACACCAAUGUUGGUGUUCAGGUGUCGGAAGUGUGCAAGAGCAAUGAUGGCCAGGUUUUCGCUAACACCAUGAGGACUGAUGUCCUAUGACUGGAGUUUGAUAGUCACUUGGGUCACAAUG